UACAUACUUGCUCAAAAGUAGAGCGAUCGUUUGAUAAACCGAUAAGUGCAGGUGCGAUUCCUGCGUAUGAAU
rnacentral:tRNA from 1 species